UACGGGGGGGGCAAGCGUUGUUCGGAAUUACUGGGCGUAAAGGGCGCGUAGGCGGCCUAUUAAGUCGGACGUGAAAUCCCUCGGCUCAACCGGGGAACUGCGUCCGAUACUGGCAGGCUUGAAUCCGGGAGAGGGAUGUGGAAUUCCAGGUGUAGCGGUGAAAUGCGUAGAUAUCUGGAGGAACACCGGUGGCGAAGGCGGCAUCCUGGACCGGUAUUGACGCUGAGGCGCGAAAGCUAGGGGAGCAAACGGG
rnacentral:rRNA from 1 species